rnacentral:rRNA from 1 species
AUUGAACGCUGGCGGCAUGCCUUACACAUGCCAGUCGAACGGCAGCACGUGUGCUUGCACCUGGUGGCGAGUGGCGAACGGGUGAGUAAUACAUCGGAACAUGUCCUGUAGUGGGGGAUAGCCCGGCGAAAGCCGGAUUAAUACCGCAUACGAUCUACGGAUGAAAGCGGGGGUCCUUCGGGCCUCGCGCUAUAGGGUUGGCCGAUGGCUGAUUAGCUAGUUGGUGGGGUAAAGGCCUACCAAGGCGACGAUCAGUAGCUGGUCUGAGAGGAAGACCAGCCACACUGGGACUGAGACACGGCCAAGACUCCUACGGGAGGCAGCAGUGGGGAAUUUUGGACAAUGGGCGAAAGACUGAUCCAGCAAGGCCGCGUGUGUGAAGAAGGCAUUCGGGUUGUAAAGCACUUUUGUCCGGAAAGAAAUCCUUGGCCCUAAUACGGGCGGGGGAUGACGGUACCGGAAGAAUAAGCACCGGCUAACUACGUG